rnacentral:rRNA from 1 species
AUUGAACGCUGGCGGCAGGCCUAACACAUGCAAGUCGAGCGGAUGAAGGGAGCUUGCUCCUGGAUUCAGCGGCGGACGGGUGAGUAAUGCCUAGGAAUCUGCUUGGUAGUGGGGGAUAACGUCUGGAAACGGGCGCUAAUACUGCAUACGUCCUGGGGGAGAUAGUGGGGGAUCUUCGGACAUCACGCUAUCAGAUGAGCCUAGGUCGGAUUAGCUAGUUGGUGGGGUAAAUGCCUACCAAGCCGACGAUCCGUGACUGAUCUGAGAGGAUGAUCAGUCACACUAGAACUGAGACACGGUCCAGCCUCCUACGGGAGGCAGCAGAGUGGAAUAUUGGGCAAUGGGCGAAAGCCUGAUCCAGCCACGCAGCGUGUGUGAAGAAGGUCUUCGGAUUGUAAAGCACGUCAACUUGGGAGGAAGGGCAGUAAGUUAAUACCUUGCUGUUUUGACGUUAACAACACAAUAAGCACCGGCUAACUACGUG